GAUGAACGCUGGCGGCGUGCCUAAUACAUGCAAGUCGAGCGAACAGACGAGGAGCUUGCUCCUCUGACGUUAGCGGCGGACGGGUGAGUAACACGUGGAUAACCUACCUAUAAGACUGGGAUAACUUCGGGAAACCGGAGCUAAUACCGGAUAAUAUAUUGAACCGCAUGGUUCAAUAGUGAAAGACGGUUUUGCUGUCACUUAAAGAUGGAUCCGCGCCGCAUUAGCUAGUUGGUAAGGUAACGGCUUACCAAGGCAACGAUGCGUAGCCGACCUGAGAGGGUGAUCGGCCACACUGGAACUGAGACACGGUCCAGACUCCUACGGGAGGCAGCAGUAGGGAAUCUUCCGCAAAGGGCGAAAGCCUGACGGAGCAACGCCGCGUGAGUGAUGAAGGUCUUCGGAUCGUAAAACUCUGUUAUUAGGGAAGAACAAAUGUGUAAGUAACUAUGCACGUCUUGACGGUACCUAAUCAGAAAGCCACGGCUAACUACGUG
rnacentral:rRNA from 1 species